AACGAACGCUGGCGGCAUGCUUAACACAUGCAAGUCGAACGGAACGGCCCUGCUUUUGUGGGCUGCUCGAGUGGAGAACGGGUGAGUAACCCGUGAGUAACCUACCCUUGACUUUGGGAUAACUUCAGGCAACUGGGGCUAAUACCAGAUAGGAGCUCCUGCUGUAAGGUGGGGGUUGGAAAGUUUCGGCGGUUGGGGGUGGACUCGCGGCUUAUCAGCUUGGUGGUGGGGUAGUGGCUUAGCAAGGCUUUGACGGGUAGCCGGCCUGAGCGGGUGACCGGCCACAUCGCGACUGGGAUACGGCCCAGACUCCUCCGGUAGGCAGCGGUGGGGAAGAUUGCACUAUGGGCGGAAGCCUGAUGCAGCCACGCCGCGUGCGGGAUGACGUCCUUCGGGUUGGAAACCGCUUUCGCCUUUCACGAAGCGUUAGUGACGGUAAUGGGUAAAUAAGCACCGGCUAACUACGUG
rnacentral:rRNA from 1 species